AGGAGGUUAAGGAGUUACUUGAUCAUCUUGAACACUUCUUAGUUUUUUCCUAUAAAUAGCUGUAUUGGCAUGUAGUUUAAUCUAUCGGGUAGAAGAGAAAUUGUAAGGUUUGUAUAAGAGAGUUGUUGAGAGAAAAUAACUCUAUUGUAUGAAAUAUAUGUGAGAUUUAUGAAAGUUUAUUUAUUUGAGUGAAAAAGUGAUAUUCUAUCACAACUUCCACCUAUCGGUGGUAUUAGAGCCAAGAAAGAAUAAAAGAAAGUGAUAUAAUCUUUGUUUCCAGUUCGAUAUGACCUCUUCAUCUAGUUUUUUUUCAGCCACAGCUACCAAGGCUGACAAAGGAGGAUUAUGAAAAUUGGAACAUACAAAUAAAGGUGCUCUUAGCAUCCCAAGACCUAUGGGAAAUGGUGGAGAAAGGUUAUACAGAACCUACGUCUAAAGCCGAUGAAGAUGUAUUAAGUGCAGCUGAAAAGGCAGCACUCAAGGAAGCAAGGAAGAAAGAUCAGAAGGCCUUGUAUCUAAUUUAUCAGAUAGUAGAUGAAGGAAAUUUUGAGAAGAAUGCUUUUAUUACAAACACAAGAGAAGCAUGGGAUGCACUUCGAAAUUUACUUCGAGAUAUCGAGAAGACAAUGAGAAUUCGCCUACAAAUGCUGAAAAGCGAAUUUGAAACAUUGGAGAUUCUUGAUAUUCGAGUCCUCACUAUAGUGAACAAUAUCAAGCGCAAUAGAGAAAAGAUCAAAGAUUUGCAGGUAAUAGAAAAAAUUCUUCGUUCUCUAAAUUCAAAGUUUGAUAAUGUAGUCAUAGCAAUUGAGGAAUCCAAAGACCUCAGUAGUAUGACUAUUGAUGAACUAUUGGCUUCUCUAGAGAUCUAUGAACAACGGAUCAAUAAAAAAAUUUCAUCAAAAUCUCUUGAUUAAGCAUUGCAAUCAAAGCUUUCUCUUCAAGAAAAUAAAAGACAUGAAGGAAAUUCACAACUAAGUUGAGGAAGGGGGUGAUUUCAAAGAGGACGAUGUUUUAAUAAUAGAGGAAGAGGAGGAAGAUUUAACAUCAAUGAUGGACAUGAAAUUCAACAAUAAUUUUAUCAGAGAGGAAGAUGACAAUAUAGAGGUCAAGGUAGAGGACAAGAAAGACGCAGAAAUGGUUUUAAUCAUCAAAUUUGUGACAAAAGGAACGUGUAGUGUUAUAACUGUCAUAAGUAUGGACAUUAUAGCAACGAAUGUCACGCAAAAAUUGCUGAAGUUGAAGUUGGCGAAAAUACCAACUUUGGUGAUACAAGUGAGCCAAAAUCAUUGAUAUUGAUGGCUUAUCAUACAACAACAGAUAAUGAAAAUAUAUGAUUUUUAGAUACAGGAGCAAGCAACAAUCAUAUGUGUAGGAAAAAGCAUAUGUUCAUGGAGCUUGAUGAAACUCCGCAUGGCUAUGUCUCUUUUGGCAAUCUCUCCAAAGUUCCAGUGAAAGAAAGAGGUAACAUCUUAAUCAAGCUCAAUAAUGGUGGUCACAGUUAUAUUACUGAUGUUUAUUAUAUGUUGGAUAUCAAGCAUAAUUUAUUAAGUCUAUGACAGCUUAUAGAAAAGGGAUAUGACAUUAGUUUAAAAGACUCCCGCCUGAUAAUCAAAGAUGAUCGUGGAUAUCCAAUAUCCUAAGUAUGAAUGUCUAAAAAUAGAAUGUUUGUUUUAAACAUUCCUUAUGACUCACCAAAAUGUUUAAGUGUCAUUAUAAACGACAAGAAUUGGUUGUGACACUUGAGAUUUGGACAUUUAAAUUUUGAAGGAUUAAGAUUGUUGUCAAAGAAAAAGAUGCUGAAGUGGUUGCCAAAUAUUGAUCAUUCGAAUGAAGUUUGUGAAAGCUGUGUUUGUAGCAAGCACGCAAGAACAAAUUUUGCAAGGGAGACAAGUUGGAGAGCAAAGAAGCCACUGGAGUUGGUCCAUACAGAUAUAUGUGGUCUGUUGAAGCCAAUAUCAAACGGACAAAAUAGGUUCUUCCUUACGUUUAUUGAUGAUUAUUGUAGAAAGAUAUGGGUAUACUUUCUCAAGAAAAAGUCAGAGGUGUUGAAUGUAUUUAAAGAAUUCAAGGCUAGUGUUGAAAAACAAAGUGGCUAUCACAUAAAGAUAUUGCGAUCAGAUUAGGGGGGAGAAUAUACUUCUGAUGCAUUUAAAAGCUUUUGUAAUUUGAAUGGCAUCAGACAAUAGUUCACACCAACUUAUACUCCCCAAUUAAAUGGUGCAGCUGAACGAAAAAAUCGUAGAAUCGUCGAUAUAGCGAAAAGCAUGUUAAAAAUAAGAAAUUACCUAAUGGAUUUUGGGCCCGAAGCAGUUUCAACUGCAGUAUAUUUAUUGAAUCAGUGUCCUACCAAGAAUGUUUGUGGAGUAACACUUGAAGAGGCUUAGAGCACAUAAGCCUAGUGCAAAUCACCUUCGAGUGUUUGGAUGUAUAGCUUAUGUAAAGAUCCCAGAAGCAAGAAGAACUAAACUUGAUGACAAAGGGCAGAAAUGUAUCUUUAUUGGCUAUGGUGAUAGGAUAAUGGGAUACAAGUUAUACAAUCCCAUUACAAAAUAUAUUAUCAUGAGUCGAGACGUAAUCUUUGAAGAAGAUAAAGCUUGGAAUUGGGAGAAUGCUAAAGACAUUAAGCAAGUUCGUUUAAUUCUUGAGCAAGAAGAAUUUCAACCACCAAACAGUGGAGCAAGCGGCACACAAACAGUUGUAUCUAGCUCACCCACAACAUCAGAAGAUUCAUCAUCUUCAUCAAAAUCAUCCUUUGAAGAAGGGCCAAGAAAGAUGAGAAGCUUGAGGGAUAUUUAUGAUGCUACUGAACAACAAGGUGAACAAUAUGAAUUGCUUUGUUUAUUAGCAGACUGUGAACCACUUUCUUUUGAAGAAUCUUCAAUAGAUAAAAGAUAGUAGAAAGCAAUGGAUGAAGAAAUUAGUUCUAUUAAGAAGAACAACACAUGGAAGCUCACUGAGUUACCAGAAGGAGAAAAGGCCAUUGGAGUAAAAUGGGUGUACAAAAUUAAAAAGAAUAUACAAGGAGAAUUCAGAGGUAUAAAGUAAGGUUGGUUGCACAAGGUUACUCUCAAAAAGCAAGAAUUGACUAUGGAGAAAUAUUUGCACUUGUUGCACGCAAGGAGAUAAUUCGAUUGUUGAUUUCACUAGCUGCACAACACAGAUGGAAAAUUUAUCAGCUUGAUGUCAAGACAACAUUUCUAAAUGAAUAUCUUGAAGAAGACAUAUAUGUCAAGCAACCACCUAGAUACGUACGAGAGGGUCAACUGAAUAAAGUUUAUAAAUUGAAAAAAACUCUUUAUGGACUCAAGCAAGCCCCCCGAGCAUAAAAUACCCGUAUUGACAAUUACUUUAAAAAGAAUAGGUUUAUGCAAUGUCCGUUUGAACAUGCAGUAUAUAUAAAACAAGAACAAGAUGGAGGUAUAUUAUUUAUCUAUUUAUAUGUGGAUGAUUUGAUUUUUACAGACAACAAUCCAUCCAUGUUUGAAGCCUUCAAAGAAAAUAUAGCGAAAGAAUUUGAGAUGAUUGAUAUUGGAUUGAUGGCGCACUUUCUUGGGAUCGAAGUUAAGCAACAAGAAGAUAGAAUUUUUAUUUCUCAAAGUGCCUAUGCAACAGAUAUUUUAAAGAAAUUUGGAAUGGAGAAGUGUAAUAUGUUACUAUUCCGGUUGAAACUUGACUGGAACUCCGUAAAAAUGAAGAUGGUGAUGUUGAUCCUACAUAUUUCAAGAGCUUGGUUGGAAGCCUUAGAUAUCUAACAUGCACUAGAUCGGAUAUACUAUAUGGCGUAGGAUUGAUUAGCAGGUACAUUGAGACACUAGAUCAAUCCCAUCUUAAUGCAGCAAAAAGGAUACUCCGCUAUCUUAAAGGUACAAUAAAUGAAGGCUUACUUUAUACAUCUACUAAUGAUUUUAAGCUGACUGGUUACUCAAAUAGUGAUUGGGAAAGAGAUUUAGAUGAAAGGAACAGUACAACUAGAUUCGUAUUUUUUUAUUGGAAAAACUGCAUUCACAUGGUCAUCCAAAAAGCAACCAAUUGUUACUUUAUCUAGCUGUGAAGCUGAGUAUGUUGCUACAAGUUCAGUUGUAUGUCAUGCUAUCUGGUUGUGCAAUAUGUUGACAUAUUUGGGAUUCCCUCAAGAAAAUUCAACUGAGAUUUAUAUUGAUAACCGAUCAGUAAUUGCACUUGUAAAGAAUCCAGUCCAUCAUGAAAAAAGCAAACAUAUAGACACGCGUUUUUUCAUUUUAUUUGGAAACACAUAAAGAUGAAAGAAAUGGAGCUAUUACCAUGCAGAACAAAUGAUCAAGCAGCAGAUAUUUUUAUUAAGCCACUUAAACAUGAUGUGUUUAUUAGACAAAAAUUUAUGCUUUGAAUGGUUAAGUUUAAGGGGGGAUGUUGAAAGUAGUGUAAACUUGACCAUUGCAAUUUUAGAAAUAUGAAGAAGUUUAAAAUCAUCAGGAAGCUAUGAAGAUGAAGAUAUGACUUGGUUAAAAUUAUAUUUGAUUAAGCAAAAGUGUUUUAUUUGAUAGAAGAAUAUUACUUGAUUAAGGAAAAGCUUGUGAUUAGUCGAUAGCUAUUAAAGAGUUGCUUAAUCAUCUUGAACUCUUCUUCUCUAAAGGAAGUGAAAGUUACUUAAUCGUUUUGAAUUCUUCUUCUAAAGGAGGUAGAAGUUACUUGAGCAUCUUGGACUCUUCUUCUAUCAAAGGAUAUGAGAUAAGGUUACUUGCCUCAAUUGACUUCUUCUACUAAAGGAGGUUAUGGAGUUACUUGAUCAUCUUGAACACUUCUUAAUUUUUUCCUAUAAAUAGGUGUAUUGGCAUGUAGUUUAAUACAUCGGGUAGAAGAGAAAUUGUAAGGUUUGUAUAAGAGAGUUGUUGAGAGAAAAUAACUUUAUUGUAUGAAAUAUAUGUUGUGAGAUUUAUGAAAGUUUGUUUAUUUGAGUGAAAAAUGAUAUUUUAUCACUACUUCUACCCAUCAGGGGGAACCUCCAACUCCUAUACAAAGAACGUCUUCUCUUCUUAGCGGAAAAUAUUCUUUAGUUCAUGGACACUUGCAUAAAUUUAUCAAUUCUUGCUUUAUUAUAUUUAUCUCUUGAGACGACCUUUUAUUAUUUAUUAUUUCCUCCAAAUUGCAACAAAAUAAGUUCCAGAUAGAUUCUACUAUGUUCAAAUCGUCACUUUUACUGUUUAACUAUUGAUGAUUCCUUAUACAUAAAUUUGUCUUUGUUGAGAAGUCGGAGAGGAAAAAUAUGGAUUUGCACGAGGGCGUGGUGGACGAGUCGUGCCUGUGGGUACAACAGAGACUCAGUCGACAAUGGGAACCCAUAUGGAAAUGUGGAAAUUUCUUAUGGUCAAGGGACAACUAUUGAGGUCGAUCCCAGGGACGCUUUUGAAAGGCCUGGUGAAUAUGGCAUAUCUCAUUGUCCUUAUGGUGGUGGUUUUUGAGGUUGUUCUAGCAGUGGAAGUGGGGAAAGGUGAACAGGAAAGUCCAUGCCAUGUUCUUGAUCACCGUAGUGGCUCUUGGCACAAGUAUACUUCAAUGUUUUUGGCUAAUAUUUCUUUUGUUUUUGUAUCUUUGUGAUCCUUUAACAUAAAUAUUCUAUUGUGGACGUUGUUUUAUGUGUUGAAAUGAAGUGAUACGUGAAGGAACUGGCUAAGUAACUGGGGAGCACACAUUGAUGAACUAGCUUGGUAGAUUUCCUUUAUGUCUUUUUGACAAUAAGGCUUUAGUCAAUACAAUGGCAUAUUCUUUUUCUUAUAUGUCUCAUUUUUUUCUACAAUUACUGACAAAAUUGUCAAUCAAGGUGAGCAAAAUAUGAAUGCUGAGAAGCCCUUAGGAGAGGAGGAUGUAGCAGAUAGAAAUAUGGAAAUAUCUGUAAUUGAAAUUGAAGAGAAAGAACCAGUCUUUGUAUGAAUUAAUUUAUGAUUUCAUUACUUUAAUGGUGAUUGUCUACCACUUCCAUAGGCCAACGUUUGAUUCUCUUCUUUUAUGUUCGAGUUAAUUGUUACAAUGGUCACUGAAUUUAGGUCCAUAUCUUUGAUUGGUUACUGAUGUUCAAAAUGUCGAGUUUUGGCUAUUGGACUUUGAAAAAUGUCAAAUUUUGGUUACUAAACUUAGGUCCAUAUCUUCGAUUGCUCACUAAAGUUUAAAAUGUCAAGUUUUGGCUACUGAACUUUGAAAAAUGUUGUAUAUUACUCACUGAAUUUUGAAAAAUAUUGUAC
rnacentral:lncRNA from 1 species